rnacentral:lncRNA from 1 species
UGGAGCAGCUCAAUCUUUUGCCAGUGAAUCUUUAGCGUUUUGUUUUUCAUUUGUAGAUAUGGUUGAACAUAUACUUAGGACACGUAAUAACUAUGGAACUUCAUCACAAACACAGCACUGAGGACAUGUUAAGAACUUGAUGUAUACCUCCUGACCUGUUCAUCUUGUAGCUGCCUCUUGACAGAUAUAAGAGGCCGCCCUGUAGAGGAGGAAGGAGGAAGUUGGCUGUGAUUGACCUUGCUAGGUCAUCUUCCUAAUCUUUGUCCUUUCCUGCACCCCAAAUGGAAGAUAAAAGGCAAUGCAAGAUCAGCAUCCUCAGAGACAUCGUUUUGUUUGGGUUUCAUGGAUUGCAAUUGCCAGAGAUGCUUAGGCUGCCUCUAGAGGGAAGAUGAUUGAUUGUUAACCUAUGUGGUCCAACCAAAUGUCUUAGGGGUUAUUGAUAAUUAAAAUGGACAAUAGCGAUUUUCCAUUUCUUCUGGCCUUGGGUGCUGGCAUGUGGAAGUGGUAUUGAUACUCAUGACCAAAUAGGCACUUAUCGAUUUCAGUUUUCAUAAGUUGCCUACCAAAUGCAAACUAGUAACCCAGACGUGGGAGACCUAAUAUUCCAUUGUUAAUCUUUAGGUCCAUAAUUUUUAUUUCCUCUACUUGCCUCUUCUUCCUUCCUCUGCAUAAUGAGUUGGGCUUAUAUAAUUGCACCCAUUUACUCACUCAUUCGUUCAAUCAAUUAUUUGUUCCUAUUUUAUGCCAAGUAAUGAACAGAAGGUGUUGGGGAUGCAAAACCCAACUAAUUGGAAUUUCUAUGUUACAGGAGCUUAUGCUUUAGUGAAAUUAUAGACAAAUUAUUAUACAGUUUUAAUCCAGAAUAGUAAGUGCUAUGGGAGCAUGCACAGAGGAAACAACCCAAUCUUAAGGAAUCAGGAAGGUUUGCAGAGGACUGACAGGAAAAGUGGGCAGGUGAAGAAGAUGGGCAGUGAGAGGAGGAGUGGAAGCACUUUUGCUAGGGAAAAACAUGAAUAAAAGGGAUAAUUUUCUGCUCUUACCCCUGGGUGAUCUUUGCGUGGUACUG